rnacentral:rRNA from 1 species
UACGUAGGGGGCUAGCGUUGUCCGGAAUCAUUGGGCGUAAAGAGCGUGUAGGCGGUCCGGUAAGUCCGCUCUGAAAGCCCGGGGCUCAACCCCGGGAGGCGGGUGGAUACUGCUGAGCUCGAGUCCGGAAGAGGAGUGUGGAAUUCCUGGUGUAGCGGUGAAAUGCGCAGAUAUCAGGAGGAACACCAAUGGCGAAGGCAGCACUCUGGGACGGUACUGACGCUGAGACGCGAAAGCGUGGGGAGCAAACAGG